rnacentral:rRNA from 2 species
UGGGGAAUUUUGCGCAAUGGGGGGAACCCUGACGCAGCGACGCCGCGUGAGCGAAGAAGGUUUUCGGAUCGUAAAGCUCUGUCACAGGGGACGAUAGUGACGGUACCCUGGGAGGAAGCCCCGGCUAACUACGUGCCAGCAGCCGCGGUAACACGUAGGGGGUGAGCGUUGUCCGGAAUUACUGGGCGUAAAGAGCGCGUAGGUGGUUAAGUAAGUCAGGUGUGAAAGGCCAGGGCUCAACCCUGGGAUUGCACUUGAAACUGUUUAACUUGAGGGCAGGAGAGGUAAGUGGAAUUCCUAGUGUAGCGGUGAAAUGCGUAGAUAUUAGGAGGAACACCAGUGGCGAAGGCGGCUUACUGGACUGUAACUGACACUGAGGCUCGAAAGCGUGGGGAGCAAACAGG